CUGGCGGCGUGCCUAAUACAUGCAAGUCGAACGGUCUUUCUAUGGAAGCUUGCUUCCACUGAGAAGAUAGUGGCGAACGGGUGAGUAACACGUGGGUAACCUGCCCAUAAGAGGGGGAUAACAUCCGGAAACGGGUGCUAAUACCGCAUAGUUUUCUUGAUCGCAUGAUCGGGAAAGGAAAGACGGCCUUUGUGCUGUCGCUUAUGGAUGGACCCGCGGCGUAUUAGUUAGUUGGUGAGGUAAUGGCUCACCAAGACGAUGAUACGUAGCCGACCUGAGAGGGUGAUCGGCCACAUUGGGACUGAGACACGGCCCAAACUCCUACGGGAGGCAGCAGUAGGGAAUCUUCCGCAAUGGACGAAAGUCUGACGGAGCAACGCCGCGUGAGUGAAGAAGGUUUUUCCGGAUCGUAAAACUCUGUUGUCAGAGAAGAACAAGUUGGAGAGUAACUGCUCCAGCCUUGACGGUAUCUGACCAGAAAGCCACGGCUAACUACGUGCCAGCAGCCGC
rnacentral:rRNA from 1 species